rnacentral:rRNA from 1 species
AACGAACGCUGGCGGCAGGCUUAACACAUGCAAGUCGAACGGUUGUAGCAAUACAGCAGUGGCAGACGGGUGAGUAACACGUGGGAACCUUCCUAGGGGUACGGAACAACUCAGGGAAACUUGAGCUAAUACCGUAUACGUCCGUGAGGAGAAAGAUUUAUCGCCCUUAGACGGGCCCGCGUCGGAUUAGCUAGUUGGUGGGGUAACGGCCUACCAAGGCGACGAUCCGUAGCUGAUCUUAGAGGAUGAUCAGCCACACUGGGACUGAGACACGGCCCAGACUCCUACGGGAGGCAGCAGUGGGGAAUCUUGGACAAUGGGCGCAAGCCUGAUCCAGCCAUGCCGCGUGAGUGAAGAAGGUCUUCGGAUUGUAAAGCUCUUUUGCCGGGGACGAUAAUGACGGUACCUGGAGAAUAAGCCCCGGCAAACUUCGUGCCAGCCGCCGCGGUAAGAC